rnacentral:rRNA from 1 species
GAUGAACGCUGGCGGCGUGCUUAACACAUGCAAGUCGAACGGGAAUUACUUUAUUGAAACUUCGGUCGAUUUAAUUUAAUUCUAGUGGCGGACGGGUGAGUAACGCGUGGGUAACCUGCCUUAUACAGGGGGAUAACAGUCAGAAAUGGCUGCUAAUACCGCAUAAGCGCACAGAGCUGCAUGGCUCAGUGUGAAAAACUCCGGUGGUAUAAGAUGGACCCGCGUUGGAUUAGCUUGUUGGUGGGGUAACGGCCCACCAAGGCGACGAUCCAUAGCCGGCCUGAGAGGGUGAACGGCCACAUUGGGACUGAGACACGGCCCAGACUCCUACGGGAGGCAGCAGUGGGGAAUAUUGCACAAUGGGGGAAACCCUGAUGCAGCGACGCCGCGUGAAGGAAGAAGUAUCUCGGUAUGUAAACUUCUAUCAGCAGGGAAGAUAGUGACGGUACCUGACUAAGAAGCCCCGGCUAACUA